rnacentral:rRNA from 1 species
UACGUAUGGUGCAAGCGUUAUCCGGACUUACUGGGCGUAAAGGGAGCGCAGGCGGUUUAUUAAGUCUGGUGUAAAAGGCAGUGGCUCAACCAUUGUAUGCAUUGGAAACUGGUAGACUUGAGUGCAGGAGAGGAGAGUGGAAUUCCAUGUGUAGCGGUGAAAUGCGUAGAUAUAUGGAGGAACACCGGUGGCGAAAGCGGCUCUCUGGCCUGUAACUGACACUGAGGCUCGAAAGCGUGGGGAGCAAACAGG